AAAGCCACCUCCGCCGACUCCUCCCCUCACUUCCAGAGGGAUCUCGCCCGGGGCAAGCCGGCUAAUAAACUGCAGCGCUCAAAGCGCCCGACUUCCCGAGGUUUAUGACUAACGGUACUGAAACUGACUCACUGAAAAAGUUCUAGAAGUGCUCAUCGGCAUACUCAGCACCCCUUCAACAAACAGGCGCUGAAUACCUAAUUCUCUAAGAUCCAUCACCAACAGGAUGAAAGUGUAAGGGUCUGAGCAACCAUCCCAGUGCUGGGUUUUAAGACGUGGACGUUCCUAAUCAUUACACUUGAGCUGACCAGACUUGGGCGCUGCAAACCCAAGGGUGUAACCAAACGCUCACCCAAUAAAUACUGCGUCCCCGAAGGGGCCUAAACGCUA